AGGUGUGAUUGCAAUGAAAUGGUGUCCAACGGAUAGCCGUUACUUGCUAACCUUUGGAAAAGACAGUCGGACUCUUUCUUGGGAUACAAUUGUGAGUGAAUUACGAGCUGGAAUGAACUUUGACCUUCACUGGUAUCCUAAGAUCCCAGGAUUGGUAUCAGCUUCUUCUUUUGAAGGAAAUGUUGGCUUCUAAAACAUUGAGGGACAUAAAGAUUUUCAUGCAGGGACAUAGAAGAUUAAAUGCAGGGGAGGCCAUCGUAAACUCAGGUAUUCGGGAUAAAGUCAAAAGGCAGUAAUCUGGUGAUAUUGUAGCAGCAGCUGAAUCUACCUAUGAUUUGCUGAGGAAAUUGGUUAAGCAAGCGGACUCUCGUGAUACUUCUGGUGGAGUUCAAUCUUCCUACUCAUUGAUUAGUCGUUAUUUCCCUGUCUUUCAAUGCCUCUUUCAGUUGACACAAACUAGGCCACCCAUCCAUUUAUGAACCUCAACAUA